UACAGAGGGUGCGAGCGUUGUCCGGAAUUACUGGGCGUAAAGGGCGCGUAGGCGGCUUGAUAAGUAUGGGGGUGAAAUCUCACGGCUCAACCGUGAGGCUGCCUUGUAGACUGUCAGGCUUGAGCACGGUAGAGGCAGAUGGAUUCCCGGUGUAGCGGUGGAAUGCGUAGAGAUCGGGAAGAACACCAGUGGCGAAGGCGGUCUGCUGGGCCGUAGCUGACGCUGAUGCGCGACAGCGUGGGGAGCAAACAGG
rnacentral:rRNA from 1 species